CUAUCCCAAGGUUCAUUGCGAUCCCAAGGUUCACUGCGGUUUUCCACAAGCCUGUUUCUGCCUAUCACCAUGAGUGAUUCCUCAAUACUCAGAUUUAUCAUCAAGAUCUCAAUUAUAAGCUCAAGUUUUGAUGACAACUUGGUGAUCUGCAGAAAGCACCACCAUGUAAGGAAGGCCAAGACCACUCUGGAAUCAGUCAAGGCUCAUAGGAACUCCAAUCUUCCCAACUGUGAGAGGGCCUUGCUCCAGUGACUGUGAAAUGGAGUGAGGCAUACCAGGAUAUGCCUGGUUUUACUUUUGGGAAGGAGGUUGAACAGUGCAAUAUUUCUUCUAUAGGAUUGCAGUGACCAGACAUGCUACUGUAACUCUCAUGGUCAUGUGCUGGAAUUAGCAGAUAUUCAACAAUUUGGCCAUCUCGCUGACCUGUUGAUAUCAGAAGACCGCAGCAGCUCUGCAAAGCAAGUUGCAAAACAGAAUCCAUGAAACUGGCAGUGACUGGAAACCAAUUGGAAGACUUUGGUCUGUGAUGUAGAGGAGUGGGCAGAGGUAGCAGAAGCAAAGACAACAAAAAGAAGAAGUGAUAUGGAUGUCUUCGUCAUAUGGCAUGACUCUGCUGACCCAGCAACAAAGAGGAGGGUGUUCAACAUCAUCCUGCUAGUCAGGAUUCUUCAGGAGAAGCAGUGGAUUCUUGUGGCAGAGAUGGUCAACCACUAUAAAUACCUUUCAACUCAUCCUGGUUCUUUCAAAGAACUUUCUUGCUUGUUUGCUACUGAAAUGUACUGAUUCGACAUGUGGCCUUAACGAAGAGGGGUUAAAAGGUCUAUGGAUCAUCAUUCUCA